rnacentral:lncRNA from 10 species
AGCACUGCUAGAAAAGAGCUUCAGGAUGGAGCCACACAUGUCACUCAAGCCCAAGGGUCAGUCAACAGCCCACAGCCCUAAAUUCAUCUGUGUCCAAUGCCAGACCCUGCAACUGCUGAUUUACAUGAAUCAACUCCAUCAUGCAAGCCUCAUGACAUCCCAAUGAGGCGCAGGUGCUUUUGCAGUCAUGUGACUGGACGUGGGCUAGGACUCUGUUGUCCGUGGCUGGAGUCCAUAGCUGAGAACAAAGAAGGAAAAACUUCAGGAGGACACUCCCAGCCCACAGCACGGCACAUCAAAGAUCCCAGAUGCCACCUACGUGACAGGCAGAAACGCUCGCGAGCUUUGCUUGCUCAGCCAGUUUUUCUGCUCCUCAAGUCUGGACGAAAGCAGCAAGAAAGAGAGAAAGGACUUGGUAGAAGCCAAAGAGAAAGGACUUUGCCUUCUGCCUAUUGGU